AGUGAACGCCGGCGGUAGGCCUAACACAUGCAAGUCGAACGGCAGCACAGGAGAGCUUGCUCUCUGGGUGGCGAGUGGCGGACGGGUGAGGAAUACAUCGGAAUCUACUCUGUCGUGGGGGAUAACGUAGGGAAACUUACGCUAAUACCGCAUACGACCUACGGGUGAAAGCAGGGGAUCUUCGGACCUUGCGCGAUUGAAUGAGCCGAUGUCGGAUUAGCUAGUUGGCGGGGUAAAGGCCCACCAAGGCGACGAUCCGUAGCUGGUCGGAGAGGAUGAUCAGCCACACUGGAACUGAGACACGGUCCAGACUCCUACGGGAGGCAGCAGUGGGGAUUAUUGGACAAUGGGCGCAAGCCUGAUCCAGCCAUACCGCGUGGGUGAAGAAGGCCUUCGGGUUGUAAAGCCCUUUUGUUGGGAAAGAAAUCCAGCUGGCUAAUACCCGGUUGGGAUGACGGUACCCAAAGAAUAAGCACCGGCUAACUUCGUGCCAGCAGCCGCGGUAA
rnacentral:rRNA from 1 species